rnacentral:rRNA from 1 species
AAUAUUGGACAAUGGGCGAAAGCCUGAUCCAGCCAUGCCGCGUGUGUGAAGAAGGUCUUCGGAUUGUAAAGCACUUUACUUUGGGAGGAAGGGUUGUAGGUUAAUACCCUGCAAUUUUCACGUUACCAAGAGAAUAAGCACCGGCUAACUCCGUCCCUGCAGCCGCGGUAAUACGAAGGGUGCAUGCGUCAAUCGGCAUUACUGGGCCUAAAGCGCGCGUAGGUGGUUCGUUAAGUUGGAAGUGAAAGCCCCGGGCUUAACCUGGGAAUUGCUUUCAAAACUGACGAGCUAGAGUACGGUAGAGGGUAGUGGAAUUUCCUGUGUAGCGGUGAAAUGCGUAGAUAUAGGAAGGAACAUCAGUGGCGAAGGCGACUACCUGGACUGAUACUGACACUGAGGUGCGAAAGCGUGGGGAGCAAACAGG